rnacentral:rRNA from 1 species
GACGAACGCUGGCGGCGUGCCUAAUACAUGCAAGUCGAGCGGACUUUCAAGAAGCUUGCUUUUUGAAAGUUAGCGGCGGACAGGUGAGUAACACGUGGGCAACCUGCCUGUAAGACGGGGAUAACUCCGGGAAACCGGGGCUAAUACCGGAUAAUAUCUUUCUUCGCAUGAAGGAAGGUUGAAAGGCGGCGCAAGCUGCCGCUUGCAGAUGGGCCCGCGGCGCAUUAGCUAGUUGGUGAGGUAACGGCUCACCAAGGCGACGAUGCGUAGCCGACCUGAGAGGGUGAUCGGCCACACUGGGACUGAGACACGGCCCAGACUCCUACGGGAGGCAGCAGUAGGGAAUCUUCCGCAAUGGACGAAAGUCUGACGGAGCAACGCCGCGUGAGCGAAGAAGGUCUUCGGAUCGUAAAGCUCUGUUGUCAGGGAAGAACAAGUACCGUUCGAAUAGGGCGGUACCUUGACGGUACCUGACCAGAAAGCCACGGCUAACUACGUGCCAGCCGCCGCGGUAA